UGAAAUGGCAUUUUGACGUAUGGUUGGUUGAAAUAAGAUUCAUGUGAAUUUGCUUCUUAUUUCGUCCGAUUGUGAGUUUUUGUUACUGUGUUUGUCUCCCUUUAGACGUGAGGUGGUCUUCUGGCCGGUGUUAGGUGCCUGCGGGUUGAUGUGAAAGAAGUUUAGUCAUUGUCGAAUUUUGGAAAUUAGAAUUUGAAGAAAGUGGUCUCGCUUUUGGUUGUUGGGUAACCUGUGGGGGUGAGGAAUCUUGUUUUGAUAAGGAUCGUGAGGGCUGAUGAUUUUAAAGUGUUGUUAGAAAGUUUGAAGUUCUCGGCUGAAGAGUUAGUCAGACGAUACAUAGGUGGGGGGCAGGAGAAGAUAGCUGGAUAAUGUAUCACCCUGGAUGCGGUGGCUGGCGACAAGCUCUGCAACGAGCAAUGAAGAUCCUAUGUUGGAACUGCUGUGGGAUUGGAAACCCUGCGACAGUUCACAAAUUGAAGCAACUUCUCGUUGCAAAUGACCCUAAGGAGAGCACCAAGAGUCAAAAGGAGCCAAAAACGAGCCAAAAAAGGACAAAACGGACCAAA